UAGGGAAUCUUCCACAAUGGACGCAAGUCUGAAGGAGCAACGCCGCGUGAGUGAAGAAGGUCUUCGGAUCGUAAAACUCUGUUGUUAGAGAAGAACACGAGUGAGAGUAACUGUUCAUUCGAUGACGGUAUCUAACCAGCAAGUCACGGCUAACUACGCGCCAG
rnacentral:rRNA from 1 species